rnacentral:rRNA from 1 species
UACGGAGGGUGCAAACGUUACUCGGAAUUACUGGGCGUAAAGCGUGCGUAGGUGGUUUGUUAAGUCUGAUGUGAAAGCCCUGGGCUCAACCUGGGAAUUGCAUUGGAUACUGGCAGGCUAGAGUGCGGUAGAGGAUGGCGGAAUUCCCGGUGUAGCAGUGAAAUGCGUAGAGAUCGGGAGGAACAUCUGUGGCGAAGGCGGCCAUCUGGACCAGCACUGACACUGAGGCACAAAAGCGUGGGGAGCAAACAGG